GUUAAAACAUCAGUUCCCGUACGAUCACCGAAGUUAAGUAAAGUCGACCCUAGUCAAUACCUAAUUGGGUGACCGCUUGGGAAUACCAGGUGCUGUAA